rnacentral:rRNA from 1 species
UCCGUAGGUGAACCUGCGGAAGGAUCAUUGCCGAAACCUGCCCAGCAGAACGACCCGUGAACACGUUGUACCACACACACGCCGGGGACGCGGGGGUCACUCGGCCUUCGCUUCCCGGCGGGCCCGUGGGGAGUGGGGCGCCAGCUCCCUCUCCCGGGCUCCUCAACCAACCCCGGCGCAGGACGCGCCAAGGACCAAGUGAUCGAAGAGCACGCCCCCGUCGCCCUGGAAACGGGGCGGCGGCCGCGUUUUCUUUUGCUAUGAGCAAGAAAAA